UACGUAGGGCGCAAGCGUUGUCCGGAAUUAUUGGGCGUAAAGAGCUCGUAGGUGGCUUGUUGCGUCUGCCGUGAAAGCCCGUGGCUUAACUACGGGUCUGCGGUGGAUACGGGCAGGCUAGAGGCUGGUAGGGGCAAGCGGAAUUCCUGGUGUAGCGGUGAAAUGCGCAGAUAUCAGGAGGAACACCGGUGGCGAAGGCGGCUUGCUGGGCCAGUUCUGACGCUGAGGAGCGAAAGCCAGGGGAGCAAACGGG
rnacentral:rRNA from 1 species